AGUGAACGCUGGCGGUAGGCCUAACACAUGCAAGUCGAACGGCAGCACAGUAAGAGCUUGCUCUUACGGGUGGCGAGUGGCGGACGGGUGAGGAAUACAUCGGAAUCUACUUUUUCGUGGGGGAUAACGUAGGGAAACUUACGCUAAUACCGCAUACGACCUACGGGUGAAAGCAGGGGAUCUUCGGACCUUGCGCGAUUGAAUGAGCCGAUGUCGGAUUAGCUAGUUGGCGGGGUAAAGGCCCACCAAGGCGACGAUCCGUAGCUGGUCUGAGAGGAUGAUCAGCCACACUGGAACUGAGGAACGGUCCAGACUCCUACGGGAGGCAGCAGUGGGGAAUAUUGGACAAUGGGCGCAAGCCUGAUCCAGCCAUACCGCGUGGGUGAAGAAGGCCUUCGGGUUGUAAAGCCCUUUUGUUGGGAAAGAAAAGCAGCAGGUUAAUACCCCGCUGUUCUGACGGUACCCAAAGAAUAAGCACCGGCUAACUUCGUG
rnacentral:rRNA from 1 species